GAGCAUGGCUCAGGAUGAACGCUAGCGACAGGCUUAACACAUGCAAGUCGAGGGGCAGCAUGAUUUGUAGCAAUACAGAUUGAUGGCGACCGGCGCACGGGUGAGUAACGCGUAUGCAACUUACCUAUCAGAGGGGGGAUAGCCCGGCGAAAGUCGGAUUAAUACCCCAUAAAACAGGGUCCCGCAUGGGAAUAUUUGUUAAAGAUUCAUCGCUGAUAGAUAGGC
rnacentral:rRNA from 1 species